GACGAACGCUGGCGGCGUGCUUAACACAUGCAAGUCGAACGGAAAGGCCCUGCUUUUGUGGGGUGCUCGAGUGGCGAACGGGUGAGUAACACGUGAGUAACCUGCCCUUGACUUUGGGAUAACUUCAGGAAACUGGGGCUAAUACCGGCUAGGAGCUCCUGCUGCAUGGUGGGGGUUGGACAGUUUCGGCGGUUGGGGAUGGACUCGCGGCUUAUCAGCUUGUUGGUGGGGUAGUGGCUUACCAAGGCUUUGACGGGUAGCCGGCCUGAGAGGGUGACCGGCCACAUUGGGACUGAGAUACGGACCAGACUCCUACGGGAGGCAGCAGUGGGGAAUAUUGCACAAUGGGCGGAAGCCUGAUGCAGCAACGCCGCGUGCGGGAUGACGGCCUUCGGGUUGUAAACCGCUUUCGCCUGUGACGAAGCGUGAGUGACGGUAAUGGGUAAAGAAGCACCGGCUAACUACGUG
rnacentral:rRNA from 1 species